GAUGAACGCUGGCGGCGUGCUUAACACAUGCAAGUCGAACGGUGAAGCCAAGCUUGCUUGGUGGAUCAGUGGCGAACGGGUGAGUAACACGUGAGCAACCUGCCCUGGACUCUGGGAUAAGCGCUGGAAACGGCGUCUAAUACUGGAUAUGAGCUUCUACCGCAUGGUGGGGGUUGGAAAGAUUUUUUGGUCUGGGAUGGGCUCGCGGCCUAUCAGCUCGUUGGUGAGGUAAUGGCUCACCAAGGCGUCGACGGGUAGCCGGCCUGAGAGGGUGACCGGCCACACUGGGACGGAGACACGGCCCGGACUCCUACGGGAGGCAGCAGUGGGGAAUAUUGCACAAUGGGCGAAAGCCUGAUGCAGCAACGCCGCGUGAGGGAUGACGGCCUUCGGGUUGUAAACCUCUUUUAGCAGGGAAGAAGCGAAAGUGACGGUACCUGCAGAAAAAGCGCCGGCUAACUACGUGCCAGCCGCCGCCGUAA
rnacentral:rRNA from 1 species